rnacentral:rRNA from 1 species
UGGGGAAUUUUCCGCAAUGGGGGGAACCCUGACGGAGCAACGCCGCGUGCGGGAGGAAGGCCUGUGGGUUGUAAACCGCUUUUCUCUAGGACGAAGGUCUGACGGUACUAGAGGAAUCAGCAUCGGCUAACUCCGUGCCAGCAGCGCCGGUAAGAGGGAGGAUGCAACCGUUAUCCGGAAUUAUUGGGCGUAAAGCGUCCGUAGGCGGUUUAUCAAGUCAGUUGUUAAAGACUGCAGCUCAACUGUGGGCGAGCAACUGAAACUGAUGAACUAGAGUGCGGUAGGGGUAGAGGGAAUUCCCAGUGUAGCGGUGAAAUGCGUAGAUAUUGGGAAGAACACCAGUGGCGAAGGCGCUCUACUGGGCCGCAACUGACACUCAGGGACGAAAGCUAGGGGAGCGAAAGGGAUUAGAUACCCCCGUAGUCC